rnacentral:misc_RNA from 1 species
GCUGAAUUCAACGACUAUACAGCUAUACAGAGUGGCGAAAGAGAGAAGAAACGAAAGGACUUCUAAUAUCUGCUAGAAAGACGGAUGCACAUAAUCUUGCAAGAAGGAUAAACGCGGUUACCGGUCAGGAUUUCGAAAUACGUCUCGGGAAUGUCGUCCGUGGUAUUACUCGACCGCAUUUUCCAAUUUCAAAUUGGACAACGUAAGUGGCGGUUUUCGAAUCGAAAACCACAUCGAACGGUACGUGACUUGUCGCUCGGUACAGCGUCGAAUUUAUGGAUCCUAUCCGUGGCCAUGGGAUUUAUGGGA